rnacentral:lncRNA from 1 species
CACGUUGCCGUGGGCGGGCGCGCCGUAGCCUUCGUCGCGGCCGCCUCCGUACGCCGGAGCGGGGGCGUGGCGCCCGUAGUCACCCCCGCCGUACCCGGCCGGCGCGGGCGCGUGGCGCCCGUAGUCGUCCUCGCGCCCCCCACCGUAGGCCGGGGCGCGGCCGCCGUAGUCGUCCUCGCGCCCCCCACCGUAGGCCGGGGCGCGGCCGCCGUAGUCGUCCUCGCGCCCCCCACCGUAGGCCGGGGCGCGGCCGCCGUAGUCGUCCUCGCGGCCGCCACCGUAGGCGGGGGGCGGGGCGCCGUAGGCGACGUCGUCGGGGCGGCGGCCGUAGGACGGGGGAGGGGCGCCGUAGGGGUCGGGCUCUUGGCGGCCGUAGGGGGCGGGGGGGCGGCGGUCGUCGUCGUCGUCGUCGCGGCGGCCGUGGCC